rnacentral:rRNA from 1 species
AACACGUAGGCAACCUGCCCGUAAGCUCGGGAUAACAUGGGGAAACUCAUGCUAAUACCGGAUAGGGUCUUCUCUCGCAUGAGAGGAGACGGAAAGGUGGCGCAAGCUACCACUUACGGAUGGGCCUGCGGCGCAUUAGCUAGUUGGUGGGGUAACGGCCUACCAAGGCGACGAUGCGUAGCCGACCUGAGAGGGUGACCGGCCACACUGGGACUGAGACACGGCCCAGACUCCUACGGGAGGNAGCAGUGGGAACA